CAGUAGCCACGGGAAUACGAAGGGUGCAAGCGUUACUCGGAAUUACUGGGCGUAAAGCGUGCGUAGGUGGUGGUUUAAGUCCGUUGUGAAAGCCCUGGGCUCAACCUGGGAAUUGCAGUGGAUACUGGGUCACUAGAGUGUGGUAGAGGAUAGUGGAAUUUCCGGUGUAGCAGUGAAAUGCGUAGAGAUCGGAAGGAACAUCUGUGGCGAAGGCGGCUAUCUGGGCCAACACUGACACUGAGGCACGAAAGCGUGGGGAGCAAACAGGAUUAGAUACCCGCGUAGUCCCUGUCUCUUAUAC
rnacentral:rRNA from 1 species